rnacentral:rRNA from 1 species
UACGUAGGGGGCAAGCGUUGUCCGGAAUUAUUGGGCGUAAAGAGCGCGUAGGCGGUCCGAUAAGUCGGCUGUGAAAGUCAGGGGCUCAACCCUUGGAAGCCGGCCGAUACUGUCGGACUAGAGUCCGGAAGAGGCGAGUGGAAUUCCCGGUGUAGCGGUGAAAUGCGCAGAUAUCGGGAGGAACACCAAUGGCGAAGGCGACUCUUUGGCCUGUAACUGACGCUGAGGCGCGAAAGCGUGGGGAGCAAACAGG